rnacentral:rRNA from 1 species
CCUACGGGCGGCAGCAGUGGGGAAUAUUGCACAAUGGGCGCAAGCCUGAUGCAGCCAUGCCGCGUGUGUGAAGAAGGCCUUCGGGUUGUAAAGCACUUUCAGCGGGGAGGAAGGCGGUGAGGUUAAUAACCUCAUCGAUUGACGUUACCCGCAGAAGAAGCACCGGCUAACUCCGUGCCAGCAGCCGCGGUAAUACGGAGGGUGCAAGCGUUAAUCGGAAUUACUGGGCGUAAAGCGCACGCAGGCGGUCUGUCAAGUCGGAUGUGAAAUCCCCGGGCUCAACCUGGGAACUGCAUUCGAAACUGGCAGGCUAGAGUCUUGUAGAGGGGGGUAGAAUUCCAGGUGUAGCGGUGAAAUGCGUAGAGAUCUGGAGGAAUACCGGUGGCGAAGGCGGCCCCCUGGACAAAGGCUGACGCUCAGGUGCGAAAGCGUGGGGAGCAAACAGGAUUAGAUACCCAGUAGUC